UGGCGAUGAGAGAAUUAUUGUGUUCACCACAAACCACAAGGAUCGGCUUGAUACUGCAUUGCUGCGUCCUGGUCGAAUGGACGUCCACAUUCACCUGUCCUAUUGCACCACCAGUGGGUUCAGGAUCUUGGCCUCUAACUACCUUGGCAUUGGUGACAACAAUCGUCACUGCCGUUGUGGCGAAAUUGAAGGGUUGAUAGAGAGCACAGAGGUGACUCCUGCAGAGGUUGCCGAGGAGCUCAUGAAGAGUGAAGAUGCUGAUGUUGCUCUUCAAGGACUUGUCAAUUUGCUCAAGCGUAAGAAGGCCGAGAGCGAGAAAAAAAAAUUGCUUAUCAAGAACAAGAAGCCACGAGGCAGAAAAGGGAUAACAAAGUUGCUGGGGUUCAUCUUCCCUGCAAUACAUUCUGAUGCAUGAUGAUGAUGGCCUCCCAUCCAUCUCCUAGUUUAGGUUUCAAAUCUUAGAUAAAACCUAAACCCUUUUGAGAUACAUAUAGCUUUCGAGCUCAUCUCCUAGUUUAUGUUUCAAAUCUGAGAUAAACUCUAAACCCUUUUUGAGAAACAUAUAGCUUUAGAGCACUCUUUAUGCUAUUUUAUCUGAUGUAAUGACUUAAAUGAUUUAUGAACUCAAGAAAUGAAAGCACACAGAACCAAUGGCAGAUAGCAAAGUGAAUCACACACCAUCUCAUAAACUAAUUCACAUACAGGGGAGAAAAAUUAAAAUGCUUAUACUUUUAAUUAUGAUUCGAAUAUGACUUGCUUUUUGUCCUUAAUUGUGUUGUUUGAUUGAUGUAAUGACUUGCUGAACUUGGUUUUCUGAACCGAUCAAGAAUGGAAAAACAAGCAAAUUAAUUAAGUUGUAUGAUCCAGAAUUCCAGAUGCAUGUGAUGUGUGUGGGAAAUGCUAAUAUGCAAGUAGGAUAUAGAGAUGAUAGGGUCAUUUGCAAUUACAGAGCUCCGAGAUUUCAAGCAAUUAUAGGCUGUUUAUUCUUUUCUAAUUUAUAUGUGAAUGUGCGAAUGAGUGGGGACUCGGAAGUGUGCUCUGUCCUAUAAAAAUUCAGAGCAACAAAGCAGCAGGGUGAGAAAUGUGCUUCAAAAUUUAAUCUAAAGCAAAGGAUUAGUGGUUCGGAGUAAUUGCUCAUUUAGGUAAGGUUCUGUGUUCGAGUCCUAGCAUUCCAUGUUGUGUAUGUGAAUUUAGUAUAUUAUUGUCUCUCUUAAUUGAAAUUUUUUUUAAAAAAAUAAAUCUAAAAGGCCCAAAUCAGUUUGACAAAAACAAAAAGGCCCAAAUCAAGGAAAAUUCCAUCAGAGCUUGAGAAACCCAAAUCCAGGAAAAGAUCAAUGUGGUCAAACUCACAACUCCAAUCUCUCUUCCUCAUGAGGGAAGUUGCAGAGCAACAGAGUCAAACCUCUACAAUAUUCUCUUCAUGCAAUUCAAAUUAUGUGUGACAAAAAAUUUCAUGCUUUUAUUGUUGUUGAAGAAAUGCACUUGGUAUGCGUUUAGUACAAAUAAGUCUUUGCUCCUAUAUAUAUAUAUAUAUAUAUAUAUAUAUAUAUAUAUAUAUAUGCAGACAGAUGAACUUAACUGCUACAAACCAAUCACCAAUUCUUCUUUUAGCAGCAAAAAUGAGUGCAUCUCUCUGAAACAGAGAGACUCUUCCUGGUAAUCAAAAAAACUGCUGCCCUAAAGAAUCAAUACCAUCUCAAGUUUUCGAAACAAACACAAUGUUUUCUCUCAAAGAUCUGAAAGGUCAGAUGCCAACAACAGCAUCCACUCUGUUCUCAGCCUACGCCUCCUUCGCAACAUGCAUGAUGCUGCUCCGUUCCAUGGCCAAGGAACUCAUCCCUGAGCCUUUCCGCACCUACCUAUUCUCGGCCAUCAAUUACCUUCUUACGCCUUUCUUCUCCACCAAGUUCACUCUAAUCGUCGACGAGCACUCCAGCAUGAUACGAAACCAAGUUUACGACGCCGCCGACGUCUACCUCCGGACAAAGAUCGGCCCCUCCACUGAGCGCCUCCGUGUCAGCAAGACGCCCCGCAAGAAGGACAACUCCGUCGCCAUGACGAAAGACGAGGAGGUCGCCGACACCUUUGACAACGUCAAGCUCCGGUGGCGUUUCUUGUCAGAGAGCAAGAAGGUGGGCAAGAAUAACAAGAAUGUUGAGAAGCAAUUCUUUGAGCUCACCUUCAGCAAGAAGCACAAAGACAAGGUUUUGAACUCUUACUUGCCCUUUGUGCUUGCUCGAGCCGAAGCCAUCAAGGACGAGCAAAAGGUUGUCAAGCUUUACACCCGCCAUCUCUGGCCAAGCAGCAGCCACAACGACGAGGAGGAGGAAGGCAAUUCUUACUGGGGCUCGGUGAAUCUGGAGCACCCAUCUACAUUUGAGACAAUGGCCAUGGAGCCGGAGCUUAAGAGAGCCAUUGUAGAGGACAUGGACAGGUUUGUGAGGAGGAGGGAGUUUUAUAAGAAGGUGAGGAAGGCUUGGAAGAGAGGCUACUUGUUGUAUGGCCCUCCUGGUACUGGUAAAUCGAGCUUGAUUGCGGCCAUGGCUAACUAUCUCAAGUUUAAUGUGUAUGAUUUGGAGCUUGCAAGUAUUUACAGCGACUCUCAUUUGAGGAGGGUGCUGCUGUCCACCACAAAUCGUUCUAUUUUGGUAAUCGAGGAUAUUGAUUGCUGCAGAGUGGAUGCUGGAAACAGGGCAGCGGAUUCAAAAUCGAAAUCGAAAUCGGAUUCUGAAGACCGGGUUAGUACCUGUUUUCUGUGUGUUUUUAUUUUUAUUUUUAUUUGCCUGUAUCUUAUUUUGAUGAUCAUAGGUUCAAUCUUUUACUACAUGUAAGGCUAAGUUACAAUUUUGAUUCCACUAGUUUGAAGUUUGAACCAUAUUCCACUAAGUCCUUUUAGUUUUAUUUUGAUAGUUUUAUUUCAUAUGUGAUUUGGUCAUUUGUCCUGUUAAUUAAAUUAGAUUUUUACAUGGCCUCAUGAUCUAAUUGCAGGUGACACUACCAGGCUUCCUGAACUUCAUAGAUGGUUUGUGGUCAAGCUGUGGUGAUGAGAGAAUUAUUGUGUUCACCACAAACCACAGGGAUCGGCUUGACCCUGCAUUGCUGCGUCCUGGUCGAAUGGAUGUCCACAUUCACCUGUCCUACUGCACAGCAAGUGGGUUCAGGAUCUUGGCCUCUAACUACCUUGGCAUUGCCGUUGACAACCGUCACCGCCUCUGCGGAGAAAUUGAAGGAUUGAUAGCGAGCACAGAGGUGACCCCUGCAGAGGUUGCCGAGGAACUCAUGAAGAGUGAUGACACUGAUUUUGCUCUUCAAGGACUUGUCA
rnacentral:lncRNA from 1 species